rnacentral:rRNA from 1 species
CCUACGGGAGGCAGCAGUGAGGAAUAUUGGUCAAUGGCCGGAAGCCUGAACCAGCCAAGCCGCGUGAAGGACGAAGGUGCCAAGCAUUGUAAACUUCUUUUGUCAGGGGACAAAAUCAGGCUCGAGAGCCUGACCGAGGGUACUUGAAGAAAAAGCAUCGGCUAACUCCGUGCCAGCAGCCGCGGUAAUACGGAGGAUGCGAGCGUUAUCCGGAUUUAUUGGGUUUAAAGGGUGCGUAGGCGGGCUGUUAAGUCAGCGGUAAAAGCCCGGGGCUCAACCCCGGCGAGCCGUUGAAACUGGCUGUCUUGAGAUGUAGAGAGGUAUGCGGAAUGCGCAGUGUAGCGGUGAAAUGCUUAGAUAUUGCGCAGAACUCCGAUUGCGAAGGCAGCAUACCGGCGGCGAUCUGACGCUGAGGCACGAAAGCGUGGGUAUCGAACAGGAUUAGAUACCCUUGUAGUC